UACGUAGGGUGCGAGCGUUAAUCGGAAUUACUGGGCGUAAAGCGUGCGCAGGCGGUUCGUUGUGUCGGCGGGGAAAGCCCCGGGCUUAACCUGGGAAUGGCCGUUGAAACUGGCGAACUGGAGUGUGGCAGAGGGGGGUGGAAUUCCGCGUGUAGCAGUGAAAUGCGUAGAGAUGCGGAGGAACACCGAUGGCGAAGGCAGCCCCCUGGGCUAACACUGACGCUCAGGCACGAGAGCGUGGGGAGCAAACAGG
rnacentral:rRNA from 1 species